rnacentral:rRNA from 1 species
UACGGAGGGUGCAAGCGUUAUCCGGAUUCACUGGGCUUAAAGGGUGCGUAGGCGGGCAGGUAAGUCAGUGGUGAAAUCUCCGGGCUUAACCCGGAAACUGCCAUUGAUACUAUUUGUCUUGAAUACUGUGGAGGUCAGCGGAAUAUGUCAUGUAGCGGUGAAAUGCUUAGAUAUGACAUAGAACACCAAUUGCGAAGGCAGCUGGCUACACAAAUAUUGACACUGAGGCACGAAAGCGUGGGGAUCAAACAGG